rnacentral:lncRNA from 1 species
GUGAGUGACCGUCUGCUUGUGCGCUUUGUUACAAGUGAUGUGCAGAACUGUUUUUCUGUGUCAGCUUUCCUUCGCCUCGUAUCUCCGAGCGGGGCGAGAGCGCCCAGGAGGGAAGCCGAGGCUGUGCAGGCCGUGGGAGCCCCUUAGAAAAGGACCCGGAUGUGGAGCUCGAGGGGCCUCUGCGCCUGCGCCCGCCGCUUGGUUGCACUGACGGCCUUUGAGCUCUGAGUCCGCAGAAACCGCGGGCGGCAGGGCUCAACAGUCCCAAGGCCUGGAUGGUUCUCCUAGCAGCUGGACUCCCUGGAAUGGUUGAUUUGUUGGCCCGGUCACCAGAUAUCCUGGGACGGUGAAGAUGAGAGGAUAUGGCUCUAGGGAGCUCUUCCAGUGUUUGCCUAGGGCUGAAAAAGGAAAAUUGCACCAGGCAGUGAAGUCAGCAUGGAAGACUAUUUUUAAGACUACUGCAAUUGAGGGAUUGAAUUCGGGACCUUGUGCUUUCGAGGCAGGUGCUGGAACCACUGAGCUAAAUCCCCGGCCCCCGCCAUGAUGUUUCUGCCUCACCACGGGCUCAGAAGCAAUGAAGCCAGGUGACCAUGGACUGAAACCUCUGAAACCAUGAGCCAAAAUAAAUCUUUCCCCCUUUG